CCUACGGGAGGCAGCAGUAAGGAAUAUUGGUCAAUGGACGAAAGUCUGAACCAGCCAUGCCGCGUGAAGGAUUAAGGCCCUCUGGGUUGUAAACUUCUUUUAUCUGGGACGAAAAGAGGGUAUUCUUACUCACUUGACGGUACCAGAGGAAUAAGCACCGGCUAACUCCGUGCCAGCAGCCGCGGUAAUACGGAGGGUGCAAGCGUUAUCCGGAUUUACUGGGUUUAAAGGGUGCGUAGGUGGGUUUGUAAGUCAGUGGUGAAAUCUCCGAGCUUAACUCGGAAACUGCCAUUGAUACUAUAGAUCUUGAAUUAUCUGGAGGUAAGCGGAAUAUGUCAUGUAGCGGUGAAAUGCUUAGAUAUGACAUAGAACACCAAUUGCGAAGGCAGCUUACUACGGAUAUAUUGACACUGAGGCACGAAAGCGUGGGGAUCAAACAGGAUUAGAUACCCUGGUAGUCCACGCCCUAAACCGAUGGAUACUCGACAUCAGCGAUACACUGUUGGUGUCUGAGCGAAAGCAUUAAGUAUCCCACCUGGAAGUACGAUCGCAGAUUGAAACUCAAAGGAAUUGACGGCUGAGAGNGCGACGACGACGACGAGGGAGGAGG
rnacentral:rRNA from 1 species